rnacentral:rRNA from 1 species
CCUACGGGUGGCAGCAGUGAGGAAUAUUGGUCAAUGGGCGCGAGCCUGAACCAGCCAAGUAGCGUGAAGGAUGACUGCCCUACGGGUUGUAAACUUCUUUUAUAAAGGAAUAAAGUGAGGCACGUGUGCCUUUUUGUAUGUACUUUAUGAAUAAGGAUCGGCUAACUCCGUGCCAGCAGCCGCGGUAAUACGGAGGAUCCGGGCGUUAUCCGGAUUUAUUGGGUUUAAAGGGAGCGUAGGCCGGUCUUUAAGCGUGCCGUGAAAUUUUGUGGCUCAACCAUGAGAGUGCGGCGCGAACUGGAGACCUUGAGUGCGCGGAAGGCAGGCGGAAUUCGUGGUGUAGCGGUGAAAUGCUUAGAUAUCACGAAGAACCCCGAUUGCGAAGGCAGCUUACUAAACUGUGACUGACAUUGAUGCUCGAAAGUGUGGGUAUCAAACAGGAUUAGAUACCCGGGUAGUC